ACUACGGGUGGCAGCAGUGGGGAAUAUUGCGCAUUGGGCGAAAGCCUGACGCAGCGACGCCGCGUGAGGGAUGACGGUCUUCGGAUCGUAAACCUCUGUCAGCAGGGACGAACGGUCACUGUGCUAAUCAGCAGUGAAUUGACGGUACCUGCAAAGGAAGCACCGGCUAACUCCGUGCCAGCAGCCGCGGUAAUACGGAGGGUGCGAGGGUUAGUCGGAAUUACUGGGCGUAACGCGCUCGUAGGCGGUAUGUCAAGUCAAGGGUGAAGUCCCCGCGCUUAACGUGGGAACUGCCUUUGAAACUGGCAAACUUGAGUGUGUGAGAGGAUAGUGGAAUUCCAGGUGUAGGAGUGAAAUCCGUAGAUAUCUGGAGGAACAUCAGUGGCGAAGGCGACUAUCUGGCACAUAACUGACGCUGAGGAGCGAAAGCGUGGGUAGCAAACAGGAUUAGAUACCCUAGUAGUC
rnacentral:rRNA from 1 species